GAUGAACGCUGACAGAAUGCUUAACACAUGCAAGUCUACUUGAUCCUUCGGGUGAUGGUGGCGGACGGGUGAGUAACGCGUAAAGAACUUGCCCUGCAGUCUGGGACAACAUUUGGAAACGAAUGCUAAUACCGGAUAUUAUGUGAGUUUCGCAUGAAAUUCAUAUGAAAGCUAUAUGCGCUGCAGGAGAGCUUUGCGUCCUAUUAGCUAGUUGGUGAGGUAACGGCUCACCAAGGCGAUGAUAGGUAGCCGGCCUGAGAGGGUGAACGGCCACAAGGGGACUGAGACACGGCCCUUACUCCUACGGGAGGCAGCAGUGGGGAAUAUUGGACAAUGGACCAAAAGUCUGAUCCAGCAAUUCUGUGUGCACGAUGAAGUUUUUCGGAAUGUAAAGUGCUUUCAGUUGGGACGAAGUAAGUGACGGUACCAACAAAGAAGCGACGGCUAAAUACGUGCCAGCAGCCGCGGUAAUACGUAUGUCGCAAGCGUUAUCCGGAUUUAUUGGGCGUAAAGCGCGUCUAGGCGGUUUGGUAAGUCUGAUGUGAAAAUGCGGGGCUCAACUCCGUAUUGCGUUGGAAACUGUCAAACUAGAGUACUGGAGAGGUGGGCGGAACUACAAGUGUAGAGGUGAAAUUCGUAGAUAUUUGUAGGAAUGCCGAUGGGGAAGCCAGCCUACUGGACAGAUACUGACGCUAAAGCGCGAAAGCGUGGGUAGCAAACAGG
rnacentral:rRNA from 1 species